rnacentral:rRNA from 1 species
GACGAACGCUGGCGGCGUGCUUAACACAUGCAAGUCGAACGGAAAGGCCCUGCUUUUGUGGGGUGCUCGAGUGGCGAACGGGUGAGUAACACGUGAGUAACCUGCCCUUGACUUUGGGAUAACUUCAGGAAACUGGGGCUAAUACCGGAUAGGAGCUCCUGCUGCAUGGUGGGGGUUGGAAAGUUUCGGCGGUUGGGGAUGGACUCGCGGCUUAUCAGCUUGUUGGUGGGGUAGUGGCUUACCAAGGCUUUGACGGGUAGCCGGCCUGAGAGGGUGACCGGCCACAUUGGGACUGAGAUACGGCCCAGACGCCUACGGGAGGCAGCAGUGGGGAAGAUUGCACAAUGGGCGGAAGCCUGAUGCAGCAACGCCGCGUGCGGGAUGACGGCCUUCGGGCUGUAAACCGCUUUCGCCUGUGACGAAGCGUGAGUGACGGUAAUGGGUAAAGAAGCACCGGCUAACUACGUG